rnacentral:rRNA from 1 species
GGAUAACUCCGGGAAACCGGGGCUAAUACCGGAUAAUUCAUUUCCUCUCAUGAGGAAAUGCUGAAAGACGGUUUCGGCUGUCACUUACAGAUGGGCCCGCGGCGCAUUAGCUAGUUGGUGAGGUAACGGCUCACCAAGGCCACAAUGCGUAGCCGACCUGAGAGGGUGAUCGGCCACACUGGGACUGAGACACGGCCCAGACUCCUACGGGAGGCAGCAGUAGGGAAUCUUCCGCAAUGGACGAAAGUCUGACGGAGCAACGCCGCGUGAGCGAAGAAGGCCUUCGGGUCGUAAAGCUCUGUUGUUAGGGAAGAACAAGUAUCGGAGUAACUGCCGGUACCUUGACGGUACCUAACCAGAAAAGCCACGGCUAAACUACGUGCCCAGCAGCCCGCGGUAAUACGUAUGUGGGCAAGCGUUUGUCCGGAAAUUAUUGGGCGUAAAGCGCGCGCAGGCGGUCCUUUAAGUCUGAUGUGAAAGCCCACGGGCUCAACACGGUGGGAGGGGUCACUUGGGGAAAACUGGGGGGGAACUUUG